AUGACCUUCCAAGUUUUAAAAGAAGAGGAUGAUAUUAUUUGCGUCAUUUAAUCGAACAAUUCUUCUCAGGGUAUUCUUACCCUGAGGUUUUAAUGGAGAAAGCGGUUCCUGCGCAGAAAAUUGAUCUUGUUACAUUCGAAAGAAUGAUUCAAGGACGCUCAAUUAGAAAAUUCUGAUUCUU
rnacentral:ncRNA from 24 species